GUGGGGAAUUGUUCGCAAUGGGCGCAAGCCUGACGACGCAACGCCGCGUGGAGGACGAAGGUCUUCGGAUCGUAAACUCCUGUCGUGCGGGACGAACGGCCUGGGGGUGAAGAGCCUCUGGGCGUGACGGUACCGCGAGAGGAAGCCCCGGCUAACUCCGUGCCAGCAGCCGCGGUAAUACGGGGGGGGCAAGCGUUGUUCGGAAUUACUGGGCGUAAAGGGCUCGUAGGCGGCGGGUUCAGUCGGACGUGAAAUUCCUCGGCUCAACCGGGGCACGGCGUCCGAUACUGGCCGGCUGGAAUCCGGGAGAGGGAUGCGGAAUUCCAGGUGUAGCGGUGAAAUGCGUAGAUAUCUGGAGGAACACCGGUGGCGAAGGCGGCAUCCUGGACCGGGAUUGACGCUGAGGAGCGAAAGCCAGGGGAGCAAACGGGAUUAGAUACCCCGGUAGUCC
rnacentral:rRNA from 1 species